rnacentral:rRNA from 1 species
UACGGGGGGGGGCAAGCGUUGUUCGGAAUUACUGGGCGUAAAGGGCGCGUAGGCGGCCUUCUAAGUCGGACGUGAAAUCCCUCGGCUUAACCGAGGAACUGCGUCUGAUACUGGAAGGCUUGAAUCCGGGAGAGGGAUGUGGAAUUCCAGGUGUAGCGGUGAAAUGCGUAGAGAUCGGCAGGAACACCCAGGGGGAAACCAGUCGACUGGGCAGCACCUGACGCUGAGGUGCGAGAGCGUGGGGGAGCGAACCGG